UACGUAGGGGGCGAGCGUUGUCCGGAUUUAUUGGGCGUAAAGGGCUCGUAGGCGGUUUGUCACGUCGGGAGUGAAAACUCGGGGCUUAACUCCGAGCCUGCUUCCGAUACGGGCUGACUAGAGGUAUGCAGGGGAGAACGGAAUUCCUGGUGUAGCGGUGAAAUGCGCAGAUAUCAGGAGGAACACCGGUGGCGAAGGCGGUUCUCUGGGCAUUACCUGACGCUGAGGAGCGAAAGUGUGGGGAGCGAACAGG
rnacentral:rRNA from 1 species